CGGAAGUCUGACCGAGCAACGCCGCGUGAGUGAAGAAGGUUUUCGGAUCGUAAAGCUCUGUUGUAAGAGAAGAACGAGUGUGAGAGUGGAAAGUUCACACUGUGACGGUAUCUUACCAGAAAGGGACGGCUAACUACGUGCCAGCAGCCGCGGUAAUACGUAGGUCCCGAGCGUUGUCCGGAUUUAUUGGGCGUAAAGCGAGCGCAGGCGGUUAGAUAAGUUUGAAGUUAAAGGCUGUGGCUUAACCAUAGUACGCUUUGGAAACUGUUUAACUUGAGUGCAAGAGGGGAGAGUGGAAUUCCAUGUGUAGCGGUGAAAUGCGUAGAUAUAUGGAGGAACACCGGUGGCGAAAGCGGCUCUCUGGCUUGUAACUGACGCUGAGGCUCGAAAGCGUGGGGAGCAAACAGGAUUAGAUACCC
rnacentral:rRNA from 1 species